rnacentral:rRNA from 1 species
UGGUCAUUUAGAGGAAGUAAAAGUCGUAACAAGGUUUCCGUAGGUGAACUGCGGAAGGAUCAUUAACGAAAGCUCGACGCACGGAAAGGUGCUAGAGUACGGUACACAUGUUGUCUCGAACGAUCGCAAGUCGGCGGCGAUGUGACAGUUGCCGAUGGCUCGCGAUCGGACCGACGACGUUGCUUUCGGCACGAUGGAAGGCAGCGCGGUCGGUUGCGUAUUCUGGUUUCUGGUAUUAGCGUGUCGGGGUGCCGAUUCGUCGGCUUAAAGUUUCGCGUGCCUCAUGCGAACGCCCCGAACACAGUCGCCGCUAGCGACGUUCCGGCACGAUGGGAAACGGCGAGAGCGGCUCGGUAUUCUGGUGCGAAGGGUACCUGGCCCGACGUCGUCGUCGGGAGAAGCUUCGCAUUGGCGAGGUUUAAAGAAUCGCUUAAGCGAUCGCCCUACGGUUACGCUUGCGGUAGGAACAACGUUGGCGGACGGUUACGUUGACGACGACGGCCAUUGCUGUUGUUAAGAUAAGCUGAGACCACUCUAUGCGGUGAAUCACUCGGCUCGUGUGUCGAUGAAGAGCGCAGCCAGCUGCGUUAAUUAAUGUGAAUUGCAGGACACAUUGAACAUCGAAAACUUGAACGCAUAUUGCGACCUCGGGUAUUCCCGAGGUCACGCCUGUCUCAGGGUCGGUUGAAGUUCUAUCGCGAGAAGCACGACUUUUCUCGCGCAUUGGGCGUCUCAGACGAUCACGACGACGAUAGUCGAGCAGUCGACUGCGAGGCUAGUUCGUCACGGCUGAGUCGCCUUAAAAUCAGACAAGCGGCUGGGCCUACGCGGCACCACGUCGAGACGUGAACUCGGGAAUUGAGUUCGGCGCUGCUCUCGGCAUGGUGCGCAAUGGACGACGCCGUGCGUUACGUUCAAAACUAUUCGACCUGAGAUCAGACGAGAUUACCCGCUGAAUUUAAGCAUAUCAAUAAGCGGAGGA